ACGAACGCUGGCGGCAUGCCUAACCCAUGCCAGUCGCACGAGACCUUCGGGUCUAGUGGCGCACGGGUGCGUAACGCGUGGGAACCUGCCCUUAGGUUCGGAAUAACUCCCCGAAAGGGGUGCUAAUACCGGAUAAUGUCUUCGGACCAAAGAUUUAUCGCCUUUGGAUGGGCCCGCGUUGGAUUAGCUAGUUGGUAGGGUAAAAGCCUACCAAGGCGACGAUCCAUAGCUGGUCUGAGAGGAUGAUCAGCCACACUGGGACUGAGGCACGGCCCAGACUCCUACGGGAGGCAGCAGUGGGGAAUAUUGGACAAUGGGCGAAAGCCUGAUCCAGCAAUGCCGCGUGAGUGAUGAAGGCCUUAGGGUUGUAAAGCUCUUUUACCCGGGAUGAUAAUGACAGUACCGGGAGAAUAAGCUCCGGCUAACUCCGUG
rnacentral:rRNA from 1 species